GAUGAACGCUCGCUACAGGCUUAACACAUGCAAGUCGAGGGGAAACGGCAUUGAGUGCUUGCACUCUUUGGACGUCGACCGGCGCACGGGUGAGUAACGCGUAUCCAACCUUCCCAUUACUGUGGGAUAACCUGCCGAAAGGCAGACUAAUACCGCAUAGUCUUCGAUGACGGCAUCAGAUUUGAAGUAAAGAUUUAUCGGUAAUGGAUGGGGAUGCGUCUGAUUAGCUUGUUGGCGGGGUAACGGCCCACCAAGGCUACGAUCAGUAGGGGUUCUGAGAGGAAGGUCCCCCACAUUGGAACUGAGACACGGUCCAAACUACUACGGGAGGCAGCAGUGAGGAAUAUUGGUCAAUGGACGGAAGUCUGAACCAGCCAAGUAGCGUGCAGGAUGACGGCCCUAUGGGUUGUAAACUGCUUUUGUAUGGGGAUAAAGUUAGGGACGGGUCCCUAUUUGCAGGUACCAUACGAAUAAGGACCGGCUAAUUCCGUG
rnacentral:rRNA from 1 species